CAGUGGGGAAUAUUGCACAAUGGGCGCAAGCCUGAUGCAGCCAUGCCGCGUGUAUUGAAGAAGGCCUUCGGGUUGUUAAAGUACUUUCAGCAGUGAGGAAGGUGGGUAUGUUAAUAGCAUACUCAUUUGACGUUAGCUGCAGAAGAAGCACCGGCUAACUCCGUGCCAGCAGCCGCGGUAAUACGGAGGGUGCGAGCGUUAAUCGGAAUUACUGGGCGUAAAGCGCAUGCUGGUGGUUUGUUAAGUCAGAUGUGAAAGCCCGGGGCUCAACCUCGGAAUUGCAUUUGAAACUGGCAAACUAGAGUACUGUAGAGGGGGUAGAAUUUCAGGUGUAGCGGUGAAAUGCGUAGAGAUCUGAAGGAAUACCGGUGGCGAAGGCGGCCCCCUGGACAGAUACUGACACUCAGAUGCGAAAGCGUGGGGAGCAAACAGGAUUAGAUACCCUGGUAG
rnacentral:rRNA from 1 species